UGAAAGGACACACACUGGAGAGAAACCUUAUUAACAUAAGCAAUGUGGGAAAGCCUUUGUAAGUCUCAGCAAACUUCAGAGGCAUAAAUGAAUUCAUCCUGGAGAGAAAUCUCAAGAAUGUAUUUAAUAUGGUGAAGGCGUUAAAUGGUUUUAUAGUCUUCAUCAUCACAAAAGUAUACCAGAGAGAAAUUCUAUGAGUGUAGGCAAUGUGCUGAAGUCUUUAUGUUAUGGAGCCCACUUAGAAAUCCAACACGACACAAAAACCAGGGCUACGGGUAUUCACUAUGUAGUUGAUCUGUGUCCACUGAUGCAGGCAGGAUGUAGGUUUUACAGUCUAAAGAUCAUAUCCAUUUUCUCUUUGUGGUUAACAACAGGUAUUGUGUUUUGGGGUAAAAAAAGAUGAAUAACAGAAACUGUCGUUUGGAACAGUCAAUAUGUUUUGUGAAAUAGGAAAUGUGGUUAGGAACAAUCAUGUUUUGGGAAACAAAAAUGAAUUAUGGAAGCUUAUCAAUUAUUAGGGAGUCUCCAGCUCCCUUAUGUUCUGGGAACUUGAAUUUAGUUUCGCUCUAUGAUUAAAUGAAGUCUUAUA
rnacentral:lncRNA from 1 species